rnacentral:rRNA from 1 species
ACACAUCUGAAUCUACUCUGGGUGGGGGAUAACGUAGGGAAGCUUACACUAAUACCGCAUACCACCUACGGGUGAGAGCUCGGGACCUUCGGGCCUUGCGCAAUUGAAUGAGCCGAUUUCGGAUUAUCUAGUUGGCAGGGUAAAGGCCCGCCACGGCGACUAUCCGUACCUGGUCGAAGAGGAUGAUCACCCACACUGAAACUGAGACACGGCCCAUACUCCUACGGGAGGCGGCAGUGGGGAAUAUUGGACAAUGGGCGCGAUCCUGAUCCACCCAUACCGCGUGGGUGGACAAGGCCUUCUGGUUGUAAAUCCCU